CAGCCCUUGACAUCCCGAUCGCGGACAGUGGAGACAUUGUCCUUCAGUUAGGCUGGAUCGGAGACAGGUGCUGCAUGGCUGUCGUCAGCUCGUGUCGUGAGAUGUUGGGUUAAGUCCCGCAACGAGCGCAACCCUCGCCUCUAGUUGCCAUCAUUCAGUUGGGCACUCUAGAGGGACUGCCGGUGAUAAGCCGAGAGGAAGGUGGGGAUGACGUCAAGUCCUCAUGGCCCUUAUGACCUGGGCUACACACGUACUACAAUGGCCGGUACAACGGGCGGCGAAGGGGCGACCCCCAGCCAAUCCCGAAAAGCCGUCUCAGUUCGGAUUGUACUCUGCAACUCGAGUGCA
rnacentral:rRNA from 1 species